AUGGAAGUAUUAAAGCUUGAAGUUAAGAAGUACGGAAGUAAUGAAACGAUCAAUCGACAAGAGGUCGAUGCACCAGCAAUGUGUAAUUGGAUUGACUUGGACCGAUCUUCGCCGGAGGAUGUCGACCAGGAUGCGACCAGCAUCACACGCGACAACGGCAAACAAUCGAUCAACAUAAUCUUCGAGCACAUCACAUAUACUGUGAACCUCGGCUUCAGGAAAGGAAAAAAAGAGAUUUUACACGGAAUUAAUGGAAGGUUUCCCAGCAAACAGUUGAUCGCUCUGAUGGGUCCAUCUGGUGCAGGGAAGUCCACGUUAUUCGAUGUACUCUCUGGCUUCCGCGUAACCGGAGUGGAUGGUACUAUAUUUGUCAACGGUCAUGUCCGGGAUCUCAACUCUUUCCGGAAGUACACUGCCUACAUUACACAGGAGGAUCGGUUGGAACCUUUACUCACUGUACUCGAAUAUAUGAAGAUCGCCGCCGAUUUAAAGCUGCCGGCGGAUACCUUACAAAAUAAAAAAGAAGCGACUAUUAAAGAAAUUCUCACGGCACUUGGUUUGUACGAGCACUUGCAUACGAGAGCCGGCCAAUUAAGUGGCGGUCAAAAAAGGCGACUGUCCAUCGCAUUAGAAUUGGUUAAUAAUCCCACGAUGAUGUUUCUUGAUGAGCCCACAACAGGUCUGGAUAGCUCAUCUUGCACGAAAAUUGUAAAUCUCCUAAAGCGGCUCGCACAAGAGGGUAAAACAAUAAUUUGUACUAUACAUCAGCCUAGUGCGUCCCUAUUCGAAUUGUUCGACCAGCUUACGAGAACGAAAGAACGAAAUAUCCCUGUCCCAAUGCUGAACGACAUGGGCUUCGUCAGCGGAGAAGGGAUCAGCGAUGCAGAAACAUGA